AUGACGACGCGCCAGCCUCGAAGCACCUCCCCUGCGUCUCCCUUGUCGUUGUGCUCGUCGCCGGUCGCCGUCGUCGUCACCGGUCGCCGCUGUCGCCUCCUGCGUUUCUCACCAGCAAAAGUGAGCCCGUGGUUGCAGCUCCCCGUGGCGGCGAUUGCAGCUCUGGCCGCCGCUCGCGAACUCACCGGCUCGCCGUCGCCACUUGCCGAGGCCACUCACCAGUCCCGCUUGCCGAUUGGAUGGUUGCAGCAAAAAUCAGUUGCUAGAAAAACUGGUCCCAGCUCUGCUUCGCGGUUCCAGCAAAAUCAAAUGCUCGUUGUAGAAAAAUCAAAUAAUGGUUCCAGCAAAAAGGAACAAAAUGCAGCAUAA
rnacentral:rRNA from 1 species